AUGGAAUCAACGUGUAAAUAUUGUGUAUAUUUGCUGCAGAAAUCGAAAAAAAGUCUGUUACUAGUGCGUACUCUGUCUCCUGUUUUAUUUGAAGUGCAGCUUUGAGUGGUGAGAGAAGAGCGAAAGCUGUGUGUUCUAAAAUGGAUUUGAGGGUUUUUGUAUAAACUUUUCGAUUGCAUAUGAUUAAAACAAAAAUUCACAACAGUUCAG